rnacentral:rRNA from 1 species
CCCCCUCGCCGCAAGACUAAGGUUUCCUGAUCAACGCUAAUCGGAUCAGGGUUAGUCGGGUCCUAAGGCUCAGCCGAACGGUGAGGCCGAUGGCAGAACAGGUUAAUAUUCCUGUACUACCUAUAGGAGUGAUGUGGAGACGGAGGAGUGACAACGCCGCGGACUGACGGAAUAGUCCGUUAAAGGGUGUAGAUGUUGAUUAUCCCAGGCAAAUCCGGGAUAAGAGUCGAACCUGAUAGUAUACCAAUUUCCUCGGAAAACGGUAAUAGUGCGUGUAAACAUACUCCCAAGAAAAUCCGCUAAACUUAAUCUUAUAGGUACCCGUACCGUAAACGGACACACGUAGUCGGGUUGAAUAUACUCAGGCGCUUGAGUGAAUCACGGUUAAGGAACUAGGCAAAUUGACCCUGUAACUUCGGGAUAAAGGGUCCCUACCCGGUGACGGGAGGGCGCAGAGAAUAGGUCCAGGCAACUGUUUAACAAAAACACAGGGCUGUGCAAAAUUGAAAGAUCACGUAUACAGCCUGACACCUGCCCGGUGCUGGAAGGUUAAGAGGAGAUGUCAUCGCAAGAGAAGCAUUGAAUUGAAGCCCCAGUAAACGGCGGCCGUAACUAUAACGGUCCUAAGGUAGCGAAAUUCCUUGUCGGGUAAGUUCCGACCUGCACGAAUGGUGUAAUGAUCUGGACACUGUCUCAACCGUGAGCUCAGUGAAAUUGUAGUAUCGGUGAAGAUGCCGAUUACCCGCGAUGGGACGAAAAGACCCCGUGAACCUUUACUAUAGCUUAACAUUGAAUUUGGGUAAUUGAUGUGUAGGAUAGGCCGGAGACUUUGAAGC